GAUGAACGCUGGCGGCGUGCCUAAUACAUGCAAGUCGAGCGAACGGACGAGAAGCUUGCUUUUCUGAUGUUAGCGGCGGACGGGUGAGUAACACGUGGAUAACCUACCUAUAAGACUGGGAUAACUUCGGGAAACCGGAGCUAAUACCGGAUAAUAUUUUGAACCGCAUGGUUCAAAAGUGAAAGACGGUCUUGCUGUCACUUAUAGAUGGAUCCGCGCUGCAUUAGCUAGUUGGUAAGGUAACGGCUUACCAAGGCAACGAUGCAUAGCCGACCUGAGAGGGUGAUCGGCCACACUGGAACUGAGACACGGUCCAGACUCCUACGGGAGGCAGCAGUAGGGAAUCUUCCGCAAUGGGCGAAAGCCUGAAGGAGCAACGCCGCGUGAGUGAUGAAGGUCUUCGGAUCGUAAAACUCUGUUAUUAGGGAAGAACAUAUGUGUAAGUAACUGUGCACAUCUUGACGGUACCUAAUCAGAAAGCCACGGCUAACUACGUG
rnacentral:rRNA from 1 species